rnacentral:rRNA from 10 species
GUCUGCAGCCACACUACUCUGAAUGUGCCAUCUCGUCUGAUCUCAAAAGCUAAGCAGGGUCAGGCCUCAUUAGUACUUGAAUGGGAGAAGUGAAAUACAUUUUGCUAUAGCAAUAUCAGUAGAUUUAGAAU